CAAAAGCAACAGUGGGGAUCAGCAUCAACUUGGAUUCGCCUUUUACAAGUCCACCUCUCAGAGAAGAAAUGAUGGCAAAUAACUUUUCCUUGGAGAGUCAUAACAUAUCACUGACUGAACAUUCUAGUAUGCCAGUAGAAAAAAAUAUCACUUUAGAAAAGCCUUCUAAUGUAAAUCUCACAUGCCAUUUCACAACAUCUGGGGAUUUGAAUGCAGUAAAUGUGACUUGGAAAAAAGAUGGUGAACAACUUGAGAAUAAUUAUCUUGUCAGUGCAACAGGAAGCACCUUGUAUACCCAAUACAGGUUCACCAUCAUUAAUAGCAAACAAAUGGGAAGUUAUUCUUGUUUCUUUCGAGAGGAAAAGGAACAAAGGGGAACAUUUAAUUUCAAAGUCCCUGAACUUCAUAGGAAAAACAAGCCAUUGAUCUCUUACGUAGGGGAUUCUACUGUCUUGACAUGUAAAUGUCAAAAUUGUUUUCCUUUAAAUUGGACCUGGUACAGUAGUAAUGGGAGUGUAAAGGUUCCUGUUGGUGUUCAAAUGAAUAAAUAUGUGAUCAAUGGAACAUAUGCUAACGAAACAAAGCUGAAGAUAACACAACUUUUGGAGGAAGAUGUGGGAUCUUACUGGUGCCAUGCACUAUUCCAAUUAGGCGAGAGUGAAGAACACAUUGAGCUUGUGGUGCUGAGCUAUUUGGUACCCCUCAAACCAUUUCUUGUAA
rnacentral:sRNA from 1 species